AGUGAACGCUGGCGGUAGGCCUAACACAUGCAAGUCGAACGGCAGCACAGUAAGAGCUUGCUCUUACGGGUGGCGAGUGGCGGGCGGGUGAGGAAUACAUCGGAAUCUACUUUUUCGUGGGGGAUAACGUAGGGAAACUUACGCUAAUACCGCAUACGACCUACGGGUGAAAGCAGGGGAUCUUCGGACCUCGCGCGAUUGAAUGAGCCGAUGUCGGGUUAGCUAGUUGGCGGGGUAAAGGCCCACCAAGGCGACGAUCCGUAGCUGGUCUGAGAGGAUGAUCAGCCACACUGGAACUGAGACACGGUCCAGACUCCUACGGGAGGCAGCAGUGGGGAAUAUUGGACAAUGGGCGCAAGCCUGAUCCAGCCAUACCGCGUGGGUGAAGAAGGCCUUCGGGUUGUAAAGCCCUUUUGUUGGGAAAGAAAAGCAGCAGGUUAAUACCCCGCUGUUCUGACGGUACCCAAAGAAUAAGCACCGGCUAACUUCGUG
rnacentral:rRNA from 1 species